UUGUCCUACGGGGCACAGCAGUGGGGAAUAUUGCACAAUGGGGGAAACCCUGAUGCAGCGACGCCGCGUGAGUGAAGAAGUAUUUCGGUAUGUAAAGCUCUAUCAGCAGGGAAGAAAAUGACGGUACCUGACUAAGAAGCCCCGGCUAACUACGUGCCAGCAGCCGCGGUAAUACGUAUGGGGCAAGCGUUAUCCGGAUUUACUGGGUGUAAAGGGAGCGUAGACGACAGCGCAAGUCUGGAGUGAAAUCCCAUGGCUUAACCAUGGAACUGCUUUGGAAACUGUGCAGCUGGAGUGCAGGAGAG
rnacentral:rRNA from 1 species